UACAGAGGGGGCAAGCGUUAUUCGGAAUCAUUGGGCCUAAAGCGUCCGUAGCUGGCUUGUUAGAUGCCUGGGUAAAUCGAUGCGCUCAACGCAUCGAACUCCGGGUAGACCGGCAAGCUUGGGACCGGGAGAGGCGUGAGCUACUCGAGGGGUAGGGGUAAAAUCCUGUAAUCCUUCGGGGAGGACCAGUGGCGAAGGCGUCACGCUAGAACGGCUCCGACAGUGAGGGACGAAGCCCUGGGGCGCAAACCGG
rnacentral:rRNA from 1 species